CUGGGGCGCCCCGCGGGCGGAAGUCUUUUCCCGACGUCUCGGCGCGGCUAGGAAAUCUAACGCGUCGCUUAUUUAUCUAAACACAAGCUCUGGUGCGGAGUUCCCGCUGUCCUUAAAGAACAUGUGUCCUGCCCCGCCCCGACGCAGUAGAGGGCGAUCGUCCCGGGCCUGCACUCUGCAGCGGGCAGCGAACACCGUCGCGACGUCUGCGGUCUUAUUACACUAGAUUGUCCAAGUCCGCGGUCAGUCGGUUGCUGCGGGCCCUUCCGUGGACUAAUCCGGCGACUGUCCCCACUGCCUCAGUGUCUUUAGCCUGGCAAAGGGCAGGGGGGUGGUGUCCUAGGAAGCAGCCCGCUCCGGCGUGGCCGACUGCUUCUCAUUGUUAAGCCCCGGCCCUUGUUCAUACUCAGGUUCAGGAUUUGUGCGGGGCCGCCGCCCAGCACACGUGACGCCUGCGGUCUCAGCCCCGACACCGGUGUGCCGGAGGGCGCAAGGCCUCGCGUCCUUUGUGAGCAACGCAGGUUAUCUAACCCGGGCUGUAGCUCCUCCCCUUGUGUCUCUACCAUGAUAGAAGCCCACAGCAAGAGCUGUGCUACUGUCCUGCAUCACCUAGGAGCGGCUGACUUUGGUACAGCUGGUGGCUCCUGCUGUCCAAUCAGUCUCGUGGCACCCUGCAGGAUCCUGCACCAGCGGCUGCAGACUGCAAAUCCUGGCACUGGCCCAAGCCGCAGGGCUGUGGAGGUCCUCCCUUCGCGCUCCCGCAGGAACACCAUUGCCUUCUCAGAUUUUUGUUUUCUUCAUUUCUCUAGUAUAUAGUUAAAAAUGAAUUGUGGUUUCUUUCUUGGCUUGGGUCCCAAUAAAAUCUCGCAAUACCAAAACACAUUUGACAAAAUCCAGUACCUAUUCAUUUUUCAAAAAAGCACUCAAAUAAUAAUAGUUGGUUUAUUUUAGUGUGAUUAUAAAUAUGCAGCUCCUAAACCAUCUUCCUUGAUGGGGUGAAACCAGGGGCACUCAGGUGAAAAUCAGGAGUAAGACAAGGGAGCUCACCUGUUCCCACGGCUGGUUAACCCUGUGGCAGCAGCCGUGCAUGCAGAUAAGAAAAGCAACUGGGAUAAGAAUUAGGGAAAAGAGUGUAAAAAGUCUGGUUUUCAAGGGGUAUAUCUGGAAAAAACACUACAGUGAUGAGCUAAAAAAUACUAUUGAGCAGUGAACAUGGGAAUCAGUCAUCUUCAUACAUGAAGAAAGUAAUCAGAAGAGGGAAUCAGAGAAGAUCUCGCUUAUAUGACCCAGAAAAGAUAAAAAGAGAAAGCACAAGUUUAUUGAGUAUGCAAAACCUGCACAAGAAAGCUCUGUAACUCCGCUAGUUUCUACACUCUAAAGAGUAGAGUACUGGUUAUCAGAGACACAGAUUACAAGACAGAAAAAAAAUCAAGAAAUGACUUUAAGUGCAUGUGGGAAUACAACAUCACUGUCACUAGGAGUCAGUAUUGGAUAACGUGGACUUUUUAACUAAUGGGGAAUCACUUGGGAAAAGGUAAAAAUCGCACACACACUUCAUACUAUAUAUUAGGACAAAUUCCACCAGUCAGAAAUUUAAAUGUAAGAAAAUAAAGCCAUGGGUCAUUACUUUUAUAACUUCAGAGUAGAGAAUCCUUUCUUACUGUGACCAAACUGUUUCACCAACAGUUAAAGGUGGAUAUUAUUAUCUAUGUAGAAUGAAAAAUAAUUUGCAUGGGAAAGGAACUAAAUAAAAGAUAAGUCUUAUAAAAAGAAAACAGAAGUAAAGGAUAAGAAAACACUGAGUCUGGGAGGGCCAGUCUCAGCAAUAGUCUGGGAAGGUGAGCAGAGCCCAUGGGCACUGAGUUCUGGACCACAGUAGAGAGGAGAGGAGGCUACUAUGCUACAGCAGCCCGCCACCGCCAUGAACUGACGCGGCCAGGGCUGCUAGAAACGCCAUCUUCACACUGUGAAGUACUGCUCCCUGGCAGGAGUCGCUCCACUUGUGGUCCCAGGACAAGCUGCCACAGUACUGCCUGAGGGACCAGUCGGAGCUGGUCUAAGGAAGCAUCUACGUGGGGCAGAAGAGGUCUGACGAGCUGUGUGAAAACAGCAAACCGCAUGCUGAUCCCAGGUGGGCGGAGGACUUAUCACUUAUGGCUGAAAUAACAAGUUCUAAACACCAAAUUCCAAAGAGGCAGAAAGGCCAACAAUGAAGCCCUUCCUCCCAACAUCCCUCCUGGGCCCCAGGUUCUGUGUAACAGAGAAAGAAACUGAUGGUGAACAGAGAAGAAUGAGGGUGACAGAAAUCCGGCCAGUGCAGGAGGACUUUAAAGCUUUUAGAUGCCAUAUGCAGUCCUCAGACCAAAAGCCAAAUAAAAGAUAGCUUCCCGUACCAGAUAACCAAUGCAACAGUAUUUAUUCAUACAUUUAUGCAGUUAAAAGGCUGAUGAUAGCUAUUGUUUGGUAAGAAGCUUAAAUAAGGAAAUAAUUUAUAUGACCAAAAUUAUUUUAGAAGUUUAGUAUUACAAAAACAGCUACUUUAUGCACAUAUGUAUAAAUAUAAGAAUGAACAAAUCAGCACUCUAAGGAAAGGGCAAAAGGGCAGGGGGAGACUUUUCCUCAAGUGUUCCAUCUUUGUGAUCCUAGAUAUAUUUCUGUUCUGACUUCCGGUUCCUUGAGAAUUCAGAAAAACUAGAGUCCAUCUUUACUUCAUCUUCUCAUCUUUCUGGAAAAAAAAAAGUUUAACAAUAAAACAAACCCAACUAACGCUUAUGCUGUGGUGCACCAAGAAAAGUCCUUCCUCAUCCCAGGGUAAAAGCAGCUUCCAAACCACAGGCUUUGAAAUACUGACAGCGGAGUUAAAAAUAAGGUGUAGGGAAACUAUCCACCAGGAUUCUCACACCACGCCCACCACACAUUUCCUCCUCUGGAUGCCCCCACAGCACGCCUCCCCCUGCCGGCAGGAGUGCUGGCGGGUUGUGCUGACCACACCUGUGCCUGUCUAGUUUCCACCCAGAAAGGCACAGAGCUGGGCUCCGGCUGCACUUGGCCUUCGUGUUGGGAACUCACACUGCAGGGACUUUUCCUGACUCCAUUUCUUCAGCAACAUCUCUGUAGAAACACCGAACACACUGCUUUCCCAUCCUGUGCCUGACUCUGCUGUCAGCAGGCUGCUCCUGCUGGAACCCUGGCCUGUGUGUGCCCUGCACCUUCCUCUUCUGUGAGGAGCCAGCCUGAAGACCUCCAAUUUGGAGCUGGCAGUGUGAGCAGGUCUGGCCACCAGGCCUGGGGAGCGCCAUCGCACAGCAACAGACAGCUAGGACAACUCCACACACGCAGCGCGCACACCCAGCACCCAGCACCCACUUCCACACAACGCCCCAUCAUGAAAGAAUCAGACUUCUUGAAGGAGUGCCAGCUUCCAAGGCUGGAGAACACGAGCGCCUGGAACAUUCUGUAUGUCAGAAAACAAGGAAUUGCUCCAAAUAAUGUGAAACCUUAUCAAAACCAAUCGGAACAAACUCCUAAUAUGCAGCUGGAAUGACAUGGAAACACCCGAGUCCACAUGUGAGAGAUACAUGAGGACAAGGGACAGCUUCGACUGGGUUUCUCCGUUGUCCGCUCCCUGCUUCCUGGCCCUUCUGAACCUUCAUCCACUGUGACAGGAAAACGCAGGGAAGGGCACGGCCACUUUGGAAACUUCCCGGCAGCUCCACAAUGCCUACAGUCACCGUGACAGGGACUCACACCUGCACAUUCACCUGAGCGAUGGCAGCAGGCGCACACAAAGCUGGCCCGAGUUUGCACACCAACACCACUCACGACAGCAACCUAAACACCCAACGAGAGGGGGGCGAAAUGCAGUUGGGAAGGGGACAAAUUACUAGGCCCCAAGCCAGUGAGGACUGACCCGGGGACACCGUGCUGCUAACAGCAGGGCCGGGCACAAAGCUCUCACGCUGUGUGGCUCUGUCGCUACAGGUGUGCAGAGCAGGGAGCUCUGAGGGGAAAGGGGGGCAGCAGGAAAUGGGGUUGCAGCAGGGCAGAAGGUCACAGCUACUCAGAGUAUAGGAUGCCUUUCAGAGGGGAAGAAAUGGGCUGGGAUCCACCUAAAUCAAAGGGUGGAGAUUAUGAUGUAUGGCCAGAGGAAUUGCGUUCUGUCUCAGGAAAGCUAUUUUUUAAAAAGCUGUUGAUCCUUUAUUUCUUGAUUUUUUUCUACCCAGCCUCCUGCUGCUGCCCUCUACUGGCCAUGUGUAAGUACUGUACCCGUGGGCACUACCCAGCCCAGUGUGUUUGAGAAGGGCAGAAUGAGUAAAAGCGGAGAAGAUGCUGUCCCAACUGGGAUGGAAGUCUCGGAAACAGUCUUCUUGACUUACACUUAACAAGACCAGGGGCUGCACAGAACUCCUGCCGAGGCCUUGGGCAUUUUUGCAAUAAUCAAGGACAGCUGAAUAGAGAUUAGCUAUUCGAUGCCAGAAGGAAUUACUUCUAAUUUUGUUAGGUGUUAUCAUUCUUUAGUUUUAUAAAUAACUUUGCUAAGAAAUUUUUAUUUUUUAGAGAUACAGAGAAGUGUUCUAGGAAUCAAAUAAUUCAGUAUUAGGGAUUUGCUUAAAAAAAAAAAAAA
ensembl:lincRNA